rnacentral:misc_RNA from 1 species
UCAAUCACUGUCCUCCACAUGCCCUGCAUAUAAGAAGGAAUAUCAUAAGAGGGAAUUUAAACCAAAGCCCAUAAUAUACCAUUAACAGAAUUCUUACAGCUACCUUAACCAGUGAUUGUUCCAAGUAAUAUUAUACUUUUACUGCAUACUCUAGGAUUUUGUCAGUGUGUACUUUGAGGCAUAAGGUUAACCUCAUCUUUUACUGCUUAUAGUCAGGGUUUCAGACGGAUGCUAGACUCCAUAACCACCGUUAAUAGAGGACACGACCUACGUACCAAAUGAGACCAAAAACCUAAUUUACAAACAACAACUUCUUGUAGUACAGAAUCACAAUCCAGCCCUAUAUAUCCAUAUCUCCGAAAUUAUUAUGCAAAGUAAAGAUCAAAUUAGGAAAUAAGUAAACAAGAGUGAAAAUAUUCUAAGUAAAACAGGGAUGUUCAAUUCCUGGUGCUUGGACUAUGAUACAUCAUAAUUCAUGCUGCUUGGGCUACAUCCAAAGCAACAAAAGCUGCUCAGAUCACAGCUCAACCACCCAUACUCAGAGAACCAUGUUUCCUGAACCUCAAGACCAUUUAU